GGAGCGUGAGGAGGAUCAGGGGCUGAGGGAUGAGGGGUGUGGAGUGUGAGGAGGGUCAGGGGCUGAGGGAUGAGGGGUGUGGAGCGUGAGGAGGAUCAGGGGCUGAGGGAUGAGGGGUGUGGAGUGUGAGGAGGAUCAGGGGCUGAGGGAUGAGGGGUGUGGAGUGUGAGGAGGGUCAGGGGCUGAGGGAUGAGGGAUGUGGAGUGUGAGGAGGGUCAGGGGCUGAGGGGUGUGGAGUGUGAGGAGGGUUAGGGGCUGAGGGAUGAGGGGUGUGGAGUGUGAGGAGGGUCAGGGGCUGAGGGGUGUGGAGUGUGAGGAGGGUUAGGGGCUGAGGGAUGAGGGGUGUGGAACUUGAGGAGGGUCAGGGGCUGAGGGAUGUGGGGUGUGGAGUGUGAGGAGGAUCAGGGAGUGAGGGAUGAGGGGUGUGGAGUGUGAAGAGGGUCAGGGGCUGAGGGAUGAGGGGUGUGGAGUGUGAGGAGGGUCAGGGGCUGAGGGGUGUGGAGUGUGAGGAGGGUUAGGGGCUGAGGGAUGAGGGGUGUGGAGCGUGAGGAGGGUCAGGGGCUGAGGGAUGAGGGGUGUGGAGUGUGAGGAGGUUCAGGGGUCGAGAGGGUAGGCCGGGGUACACCAGUCAAGGUCAAGUGUUAAUUCGCCACACGGCGAGGGGAGGAGAUAUGUAGGGAGAGUGGACUGAACGAGGGGGGAGAGGUUGGGGUGACCACCACCACACCAGUGGCUGAGGGACAGGAGCAGGACAUUCCAGGGGGAGCAAGUUCGAUGUUCACCCCCUCCCUCCUCUGUCUACCUCUCUCCCUCUCUACUCCACAUCCCCCACCAGCAGCAGCUUGACCACAGGGGUCAGCCUCAGUCGAAUGAGGUCAGCCGUCUGGGAUGAAAUUGACCCUUGGCCCCCUCUGCUUGAUGCCUGCUUGCAUCCCAAUCACCUGGACAAUGAACCCGCAGACAGUAGUGGUUAUGGGUUUGAGAUUGUGCGACUGAGUGUGUAUGUGUGUACAAGAUGCUACAAUAUUUAUUCACCACUUUGUAUAGAUGGGG
ensembl:lncRNA